AGCUUGUUGGUGGGGUAAUGGCCUACCAAGGCGACGACGGGUAGCCGGCCUGAGAGGGCGACCGGCCACACUGGGACUGAGACACGGCCCAGACUCCUACGGGAGGCAGCAGUGGGGAAUAUUGCACAAUGGGCGAAAGCCUGAUGCAGCGACGCCGCGUGAGGGAUGACGGCCUUCGGGUUGUAAACCUCUUUCAGCAGGGAAGAAGCGAGAGUGACGGUACCUGCAGAAGAAGCGCCGGCUAACUACGUGCCAGCAGCCGCGGUAAUACGUAGGGCGCAAGCGUUGUCCGGAAUUAUUGGGCGUAAAGAGCUCGUAGGCGGCUUGUCACGUCGGAUGUGAAAGCCCGGGGCUUAACCCCGGGUCUGCAUUCGAUACGGGCAGGCUAGAGUUCGGUAGGGGAGAUCGGAAUUCCUGGUGUAGCGGUGAAAUGCGCAGAUAUCAGGAGGAACACCGGUGGCGAAGGCGGAUCUCUGGGCCGAUACUGACGCUGAGGAGCGAAAGCGUGGGGAGCGAACAGGAUUAGAUACCCUGGUAGUCCACGCCGUAAACGUUGGGAACUAGGUGUGGGCGACAUUCCACGUCGUCCGUGCCGCAGCUAACGCAUUAAGUUCCCCGCCU
rnacentral:rRNA from 1 species